rnacentral:rRNA from 1 species
AGAGUUUGAUCCUGGCUCAGGAUGAACGCUGGCGGUAUGCUUAACACAUGCAAGUCGAACGGUGCUUUCGGGCACAGUGGCGGACGGGUGAGUAACGCGUGAGAAUCUGGCUCUAGGUCUGGGACAACCACUGGAAACGGUGGCUAAUACCGGAUGUGCCGAGAGGUGAAAGGUUAACUGCCUAGAGAUGAGCUCGCGUCUGAUUAGCUAGUUGGAAGUGUAAUGGACUCCCAAGGCGACGAUCAGUAGCUGGUCUGAGAGGACGAUCAGCCACACUGGGACUGAGACACGGCCCAGACUCCUACGGGAGGCAGCAGUGGGGAAUUUUCCGCAAUGGGCGAAAGCCUGACGGAGCAAUACCGCGUGAGGGAGGAAGGCUCUUGGGUCGUAAACCUCUUUUCUCAGGGAAGAACAAAAUGACGGUACCUGAGGAAUAAGCAUCGGCUAACUCCGUGCCAGCAGCCGCGGUAAUACGGAGGAUGCAAGCGUUAUCCGGAAUGAUUGGGCGUAAAGCGUCCGCAGGUGGCUAUGUAAGUCUGCUGUUAAAGAGUCUAGCUCAACUAGAUAAGAGCAGUGGAAACUACAAGGCUAGAGUACGUUCGGGGCAGAGGGAAUUCCUGGUGUAGCGGUGAAAUGCGUAGAGAUCAGGAAGAACACCGGUGGCGAAGGCGCUCUGCUAGGCCGUAACUGACACUGAGGGACGAAAGCUAGGGGAGCGAAUGGGAUUAGAUACCCCAGUAGUCCUAGCCGUAAACGAUGGAUACUAGGCGUGGCUUGUAUCGACCCGAGCCGUGCCGUAGCUAACGCGUUAAGUAUCCCGCCUGGGGAGUACGCCGGCAACGGUGAAACUCAAAGGAAUUGACGGGGGCCCGCACAAGCGGUGGAGUAUGUGGUUUAAUUCGAUGCAACGCGAAGAACCUUA